CAUCUACUUAAUGCGUUGUUUGUACUUGAGGAAAUCUUGAACUGUUUUUGCCGAGCGACCAGUUGCAUUGGUUUUCAAUUCGUAAUAAAUACCAGACGGUUCUGUCUGAUACAGAUGUGGGGUUCCGUCGGAGUCAAAACCCAUAAUCUGGGCAGGUACUUAUCAACAUUCAACAAAAUGUCCAACAACAUGCACGACAUUCGGCGAACAAGAAAAUCUUCCAAAAUUUACUCAACAAGUUACAACACGUUUGAAAUAUCUUGGCAACUUAAGCAUUAAAAGCAAAAAAAAAAAACGUAAAAUCAAAGGAAUGCAAGAGAGAAAUUCCAUAUGCCGAACACCUCCAAGAGCUGUGAGAAGAACUGGCCAAGGACCCAAUUUGUUUUGGGUGCUACGAAGAGAAUGUAUCUUGAUCUAUACUAGAAUUUCUCUUUAAUACUUGUUUAUAAUCUCGGUUAGACUGAAAAUAAAGAUCAAUUCGAUUUAAAAGCAGCUUCCAAAAGGGUCGACAAAGAAGGCAAAUAUUGAAAAGAACUUCCCAUGAUGAUUAAUUGAUGAUUAUUUGGACUCGAAUUCCGAUUUAAAUGUAUGGUCAGAGAAGAGGAAAGUUCUUCAACCGAAGUUAAAUGCCUUAGUUGAAAUUCGACUGAUGAUAAGACUUCUAUGAUCAAAUAGCCCACCUGUUGGAAACGUCAAAAAAAAAAAAUUAUCAUUUGAACGAUUUGAUUGUCGCAAGUCCAGAACACUCAUUGCUUAGAGAAAUCAUCUAGAUGCUUAACUCGCUUCAAAAUUCUUCAAAGCAGUUGACAACGAUGUCCAAGUACAAGGGAUUGGGUUCGAUUCCCAGCUUAAGUGUGGAACAUGGUCAGAGCGCGCUCAGCGAGAUCAGAAUAAAAUGAAUGAAUGCAAAACCUUACAAAAUAUGAAAAGUAGUGGAUGAGAGUAGUCGCUGCAGUACUGAAUUUAACCAACAUAUUUUUUAUUACAUCUUGAAAGAGGCAGACUAACAAAACUGAAAAAGUUACAUGAAAGACUUAAACUUGAAUAAAAUGGAAAACCUUUUUUUUUUGGCAACGGAUGAUUCGCAAAAAGACUACAAAAGCAUCCCGAAACUAUUCCAGCCAGAUCGUUGUUUCAUCAAAGAAACCUAAAAUCCAAUAUUCGGCUGUUUUGUCGGAAAAGCGUUUUGGAAAACUACGCAAUUGGAAAAUAUUCCACCCGAGCAAUAAUUGGAGAUUAAACAAUGAAUGCUCAAUGCAUUUAUCCAGGAGCAAGAAAAAUCCGUUCGCAAUGCCAUUGCGCAGCUUAUUGGUGUUUCGAUUCAUUAUGAAAAGAAGGGAUAAUGGAUCCAAGAGGUCUUGCAAUUUGUAUACAGCAAUUGCAGUUCGGUUGAUCGAAAACAAAGUGAAUUGGGAUCAUCGAUCUUUGCUCAAUGACCGAUGUAGCACCAGAACAAUUUGUCGCUCUCAUGAAAUCUAUUAUGGUGAUAUUUUGACCGCUGCUUUAACUGCUACCAAAACCAGUGGAAAUAUGGCUACUCUUCUAACAAUCAAAGUGGAGAUGAAUCUAUCAGCAGUAUGGAGGAAAUCCAAAGGCAACUAAAUGAACAACAGCAUACAAUCUUUGAGAUAAAUGCUGCUAGCUGAAUAAAAUGCAAAAUUCGUUGGAGAAAUUGCAUCACUUCAACAAGAAAACGAUAAGCUAGAAGGCGAAAAGAAUUUUCUCAAAUCGAAAUUAGAUCAAAUGAAGGCUGAGUUCCAUUUGGACAUAAUCAAAGCCCUGGAAGGUAAAAAUGCUGAAAUAAAACGUCUGCAGACUGUUAGUAUGGGCCUUCGAACUAAGUGUGAUGAAGAGCAUAGAAAAUGUGCUAUU